rnacentral:rRNA from 1 species
UACUGCGGCGGCUACCUGCAGUCGACGGUAACAGGAAGCAGCUUGCUGCUUCGCUGACGAGUGGCGGACGGGUGAGUAAUGUCUGGGAAACUGCCUGAUGGAGGGGGAUAACUACUGGAAACGGUAGCUAAUACCGCAUAACGUCGCAAGACCAAGGAGGGGGACCUUCGGGCCUCUUGCCAUCAGAUGUGCCCAGAUGGGAUUAGCUAGUAGGUGGGGUAACGGCUCACCUAGGCGACGAUCCCUAGCUGGUCUGAGAGGAUGACCAGCCACACUGGAACUGAGACACGGUCCAGACUCCUACGGGAGGCAGCAGUGGGGAAUAUUGCACAAUGGGCGCAAGCCUGAUGCAGCCAUGCCGCGUGUAUGAAGAAGGCCUUCGGGUUGUAAAGUACUUUCAGCGGGGAGGAAGGCGAUGCGGUUAAUAACCGCGUCGAUUGACGUUACCCGCAGAAGAAGCACCGGCUAACUCCGUGCCAGCAGCCGCGGUAAUACGGAGGGUGCAAGCGUUAAUCGGAAUUACUGGGCGUAAAGCGCACGCAGGCGGUCUGUCAAGUCGGAUGUGAAAUCCCCGGGCUCAACCUGGGAACUGCAUCCGAAACUGGCAGGCUUGAGUCUCGUAGAGGGGGGGUAGAAUUCCAGGUGUAGCGGUGAAAUGCGUAGAGAUCUGGAGGAAUACCGGUGGCGAAUGCGGCCCCCUGGACGAUGACUGACGCUCAUGUGCGAAAGCGUGGGGAGCAACAGGAUUAGAUACCCUGGUAGUCCACGCGUACACGAUGUCGACUUGGAGUUGUGCCGUGAGCGUGCCUCGUAGCUAGCGCGAUUAAGUCGACGACUGGGGGGAGUACUG